rnacentral:rRNA from 1 species
ACACGACUACAUUAGAUACCCCCGUAGUCCCUAGCCGUAAACGAUACUCGCUAGGUGUUCGGCCACGGUGCGACCGUUGUCGGUGCCGUAGGGAAGCCGUGAAGCGAGCCACCUGGGAAGUACGGUCGCAAGGCUGAAACUUAAAGGAAUUGGCGGGGGAGCACUACAACGGGUGGAGCCUGCGGUUUAAUUGGACUCAACGCCGGAAAACUCACCGGGGGCGACAGCAAUAUGUAGGUCAAGCUGAAGACUUUGCCGGAUUAGCUG